CCUACGGGAGGCAGCAGUAGGGAAUCUUCCGCAAUGGACGAAAGUCUGACGGAGCAACGCCGCGUGAACGAUGAAGGCCUUCGGGUCGUAAAGUUCUGUUGUUAGGGAAGAACAAGUGCUAGUUAAAUAAGCUGGCACCUUGACGGUACCUAACCAGAAAGCCACGGCUAACUACGUGCCAGCAGCCGCGGUAAUACGUAGGUGGCAAGCGUUGUCCGGAAUUAUUGGGCGUAAAGCGCGCGCAGGCGGUUUCUUAAGUCUGAUGUGAAAGCCCCCGGCUCAACCGGGGAGGGUCAUUGGAAACUGGGAAACUUGAGUGCAGAAGAGGAAAGUGGAAUUCCAAGUGUAGCGGUGAAAUGCGUAGAGAUUUGGAGGAACACCAGUGGCGAAGGCGACUUUCUGGUCUGUAACUGACGCUGAGGCGCGAAAGCGUGGGGAGCAAACAGGAUUAGAUACCCUGGUAGUCCACGCUGUAAACGAUGAGUGCUAAGUGUUAGAGGGUUUCCGCCCUUUAGUGCUGAAGUUAACGCAUUAAGCACUCCGCCUGGGGAGUACGGUCGCAAGACAGAACACAANAGAAGUAGUACGGCGNGAGACGNGCCGACGACGACACGAGGGAGGAGG
rnacentral:rRNA from 1 species